rnacentral:sRNA from 1 species
AGGAUAUUGAGUAUAUGGGGUUGCUUGUACGACAUUCAAUGUCAGAGAGGUGAGAAAAAUCAAAGGGGAAAGAUUUUCCCCUUUUUUAAGAUA